ACCUUGAGAGCUUCACUGGUAUAGCAUGAGACUCUCAAUCUGAGGGUUGUGGAUUCGAGCCCCACGUUGGGCA